GCGCGAUACAGGGUGACAGCCCCGUACACAAAAGCGCAUGUGCUGUGAGCUCGAUGAGUAGGGCGGGACACGUGGUAUCCUGUCUGAAUAUGGGGGGACCAUCCUCCAAGGCUAAAUACUCCUGACUGACCGAUAGUGAACCAGUACCGUGAGGGAAAGGCGAAAAGAACCCCGGCGAGGGGAGUGAAAAAGAACCUGAAACCGUGUACGUACAAGCAGUGGGAGC
rnacentral:rRNA from 4 species